GACGAACGCUGGCGGCGUGCCUAAUACAUGCAAGUCGAACGCAGUGGGGACGGGUGAGUAACACGUGGGUAACCUCCCAUCAGAGGGGAUAACACUUGGAAACAGGUGCUAAACCGAUACUGAUGGAUGGACCCGCGGUGCAUUAGCUAGUUGGUGAGGUAACGGCGCCCCAAGGCCACGAUACAUAGCCGACCUGAGAGUGUGAUCGACAACACGGGGACUGUGACACGGCCCCUACGCCUACGGGAGGCAGCAGUAGGGAAUCUUCGGCAAUGGACGAAAUUCUGACCUAGCUACGCCGCGUGAGUGAAGAAGUCUUUCUGAUCGUAAAACUCUGUUGUUAGAGAAGCGUUAUCUAACCAGAAAGCCACGGCUAACUACGUGCCAGCAGCCGCGGUAAUUC
rnacentral:rRNA from 1 species